AGUGAACGCUGGCGGCGUGCCUAAUACAUGCAAGUCGAACGGAGUGGCGCACGGGUGUGUAAUGUAUACUAAUCUGCCCUACACUAGAGGACAACAGUUGGAAACGGCUGCUAAUACUCUAUAGUGUAGGAUGAGGCUAUAUUGUAUCAGCUAGUUGGUGAGGUAAUGGCUCACCAAGGCUAUGACGCAUAACUGGUCUGAGAGGAUGAUCAGUGAAACUGGAACUGAGAAACGGUCCAGACUCCGACGGGAGGCAGCAGUAGGGAAUAUUGCUCAAUGGGCGAAAGCCUGAUCCAGCCAUGCCGCGUGUGUGAAGAAGGUCUUCGGAUUGUAAAGCACUUUAAGUUGGGAGGCGUUACAAACAGAAUAAGCACCGGCUAACUUCGUGCCAGCAGCCGCGGUAAUAC
rnacentral:rRNA from 1 species